rnacentral:rRNA from 1 species
UAAACGACUCUCGGCAACGGAUAUCUCGGCUCUCGCAUCGAUGAAGAGCGUAGCGAAAUGCGAUACUUGGCGUGAAUUGCAGAAUCCCGUGAACCAUCGAGUCUUUGAACGCAAGUUGCGCCCGAAGCCGUCAGGCCGAGGGCACGUCUGCCUGGGCGUCACAC